rnacentral:misc_RNA from 1 species
GAUGAAGAACGCAGCGAAAUGCGAUAAGUAAUGUGAAUUGCAGAAUUCAGUGAAUCAUAGAAUCUUUGAACGCACAUUGCGCCCCUUGGUAUUCCGAGGGGCAUGCCUGUUCGAGCGUCAUUAUAACCCCUCAAGCUCAGCUUGGUGUUGGGGCCUGCUGCACUGGCAGCCCUUAAAAUCAGUGGCGGCGCCAUCUGGCUCUAAGCGUAGUAAUUCUUCUCGCUAUGGAGUCCUGGUGGAUGCUUGCCAUCAACCCCCAAUUUUUCUAUGGUUGACCUCGGAUCAGGUAGGGAUACCCGCUGAACUUAAGCAUAUCAAUAAGCGGAGGA